rnacentral:rRNA from 1 species
GACAGAGGGUGCAAACGUUUGUUCGGAAUUACUGGGCGUAAAGCGCGUGUAGGCAGCCGUGCAAGUCGGGUGUGAAAGCCCUGGGCUCAACCUAGGAAGUGCACUCGAAACUGCAAGGCUGGAGUCCUGGAGAGGAAAGCGGAAUUCUCGGUGUAGAGGUGAAAUUCGUAGAUAUCGAGAGGAACACCGGUGGCGAAGGCGGCUUUCUGGACAGUGACGUGACG